CCACAAUGCUUGAGACCGUAUAUAUAACAUAUGUAGUGAAAGCAAAUCCAAAUAUUCUGUUUCAAUAAAGUUAGUUAGUGUUAUAUGUUUACUAUUGUAACGAGAUUUAUGGACCAUUGCUUCUUGCUACUUCUCAUGGUUGUACGCUUUUCUUUUGGGGUCCAUUAUUUGAAAGUAGGAGAUCUUUGAUUAUUCUCAUGUUCCUGGACGAGCUGUGCUUCAUCGUGGUCGUCACCGCCAUGGUGCUAGAGCUACAACAUCUGGCAAUCGGGUCAACCUACUUCUGUGGUGCAGAAGUUCUGUCUUUAGGGAGAUGAAACGGUAUCAAAAAGAUUUCUCCAGCUGGUGUGGCGAGUGCAGUCGUGAGAAAAAGGAAAGGCAACGCUCAACAAUUGCUGCUACCAAAUUGAGGAGUUGUGUGCAUGCUUGGAAAUUACAUGAAAUAGAAAAUAGGGGGAACAAAGUGAGAAGGAAGGACGGGGAAAGGGGAGUGCUGCGGCCUAUGGCUGCUGUAACAGUGAGGUUGAGGUAAACGAAGAAAAGAAAAAAGAAAUUGGGAAAGGGAGAGGUAGAAUGGGAAAAGGAUAACUAAAUAAAUAAUUAUUUAUUGUAUAAUUUAUAUAUCUGUAAGGGUGUAAAUUUC